GUGGGGAAUUUUGGACAAUGGGCGCAAGCCUGAUCCAGCAAUGCCGCGUGCAGGAAGAAGGCCUUCGGGUUGUAAACUGCUUUUGUACGGAACGAAACGGUCCUGGUUAAUACCUGGGGCUAAUGACGGUACCGUAAGAAUAAGCACCGGCUAACUACGUGCCAGCAGCCGCGGUAAUACGUAGGGUGCGAGCGUUAAUCGGAAUUACUGGGCGUAAAGCGUGCGCAGGCGGUGCGGUAAGGCAGGCGUGAAAUCCCCGGGCUCAACCUGGGAAUUGCGCUUGUGACUGCAGUGCUGGAGUACGGCAGAGGGGGAUGGAAUUCCGCGUGUAGCAGUGAAAUGCGUAGAUAUGCGGAGGAACACCGAUGGCGAAGGCAGUCCCCUGGGCCUGUACUGACGCUCAUGCACGAAAGCGUGGGGAGCAAACAGGAUUAGAAACCCCGGUAGUCC
rnacentral:rRNA from 1 species